AUUGAACGCUGGCGGCAGGCCUAACACAUGCAAGUCGAAUGGUAACAGGAAACAGCUUGCUGUUUCGCUGACGAGUGGCGGACGGGUGAGUAAUGUCUGGGAAACUGCCUGAUGGAGGGGGGAAAACAAUGGGAAAGGUAACCAAAACCCCAAAAACGCCGAAAGACAAAAAGGGGGGACUUUGGGGCCCUUGCCAUUAGGAGGGGCCAGAUGGGGUUUGCUAGUAGGGGGGGGAACGGCUCACCCAGGCGACGCUCCCUAGCUGGUCUGAGAGGAUGACCAGCCACACUGGAACUGAGACACGGUCCAGACUCCUACGGGAGGCAGCAGUGGGGAAUAUUGCACAAUGGGCGCAAGCCUGAUGCAGCCAUGCCGCGUGUAUGAAGAAGGCCUUCGGGUUGUAAAGUACUUUCAGCGGGGAGGAAGGGAGUAAAGUUAAUACCUUUGCUCAUUGACGUUACCCGCAGAAGAAGCACCGGCUAACUCCGUG
rnacentral:rRNA from 1 species